UACGUAGGGUGCAAGCGUUUGUCCGGAAUUAUUGGGCGUAAAGAGCUCGUAGGCGGCUUGUCACGUCGGGUGUGAAAGCCCGGGGCUUAACCCCGGGUCUGCAGUCGAUACGGGCAGACUAGAGUUCGGUAGGGGAGACUGGAAUUCCUGGUGUAGCGGUGAAAUGCGCAGAUAUCAGGAGGAACACCGGUGGCGAAGGCGGGUCUCUGGGCCGAUACUGACGCUGAGGAGCGAAAGCGUGGGGAGCGAACAGG
rnacentral:rRNA from 1 species